GCCAGUGUGGUGUAGUGGUUUGAAUGUUGGACUAUGACUAGGACCAGGGUUUCAAAUCCCUGCUCAGUCA